AUUGAACGCUGGCGGAAUGCUUUACACAUGCAAGUCGAACGGCAGCACGGACUUCGGUCUGGUGGCGAGUGGCGAACGGGUGAGUAAUGUAUCGGAACGUGCCCAGUCGUGGGGGAUAACGUAGCGAAAAUUACGCUAAUACCGCAUACGAUCUAUGGAUGAAAGCGGGGGAUCGCAUGACCUCGCGCAAUUGGAGCGGCCGAUAUCAGAUUAGGUAGUUGGUGGGGUAAAGGCCCACCAAGCCAACGAUCUGUAGCUGGUCUGAGGGGACGACCAGCCACACUGGAACUGAGACACGGCCCAGACUCCUACGGGAGGCAGCAGUGGGGAAUUUUGGACAAUGGGCGAAAGCCUGAUCCAGCCAUUCCGCGUGCAGGAUGAAGGCCCUCGGGUUGUAAACUGCUUUUGUACAGAACGAAAAGGUUUCUACUAAUACUAGGAGCUCAUGACGGUACUGUAAGAAUAAGCACCGGCUAACUACGUGCCAGCCGCCGCCGUAA
rnacentral:rRNA from 1 species